CCUACGGGAGGCAGCAGUAGGGAAUAUUGCUCAAUGGGGGAAACCCUGAUGCAGCAACGCCGCGUGAGGGAUGAAGUUUUUCGGAUUGUAAACUCCUUUUAGUAGGGAAGAUAAUGACGGUAUCUAACGAAUAAGCACCGGCUAACUCCGUGCCAGCAGCCGCGGUAAUACGUAGGGUGCAAGCGUUACUCGGAAUCACUGGGCGUAAAGGGCGCGUAGGCGGGAUGGCAAGUCAGAUGUGAAAUGCUAUGGCUUAACUGUAGAACUGCAUUGGAAACUGUUAUUCUAGAGUAUGGGAGAGGUAGGUGGAAUUCCUGGUGUAGGGGUAAAAUCCGUAGAGAUCAAGAGGAAUACUGAUGGCGAAGGCGACCUGCUAGAACAUAACUGACGCUGAUGCGCGAAAGCGUGGGGAGCAAACAGGAUUAGAUACCCCUGUAGUC
rnacentral:rRNA from 1 species